rnacentral:rRNA from 1 species
UACGUAGGGGGCAAGCGUUGUCCGGAAUCAUUGGGCGUAAAGAGCGCGUAGGCGGCCCUGUAAGUCCGCUGUGAAAGUCAAGGGCUCAACCCUUGGAUGCCGGCGGAUACUGUCGGGCUAGAGUCCGGAAGAGGCGAGUGGAAUUCCCGGUGUAGCGGUGAAAUGCGCAGAUAUCGGGAGGAACACCUAUGGCGAAGGCAGCUCGCUGGGACGGUACUGACGCUGAGACGCGAAAGCGUGGGGAGCAAACAGG